GACGAACGCUGGCGGCGUGCUUAACACAUGCAAGUCGAACGGAAAGGCCCUGCUUUUGUGGGGUGCUCGAGUGGCGAACGGGUGAGUAACACGUGAGUAACCUGCCCUUGACUUUGGGAUAACUUCAGGAAACUGGGGCUAAUACCGGAUAGGAGCUCCUGCUGCAUGGUGGGGGUUGGAAAGUUUCGGCGGUUGGGGAUGGACUCGCGGCUUAUCAGCUUGUUGGUGGGGUAGUGGCUUACCAAGGCUUUGACGGGUAGCCGGCCUGAGAGGGUGACCGGCCACAUUGGGACUGAGAUACGGCCCAGACUCCUACGGGAGGCAGCAGUGGGGAAUAUUGCACAAUGGGCGGAAGCCUGAUGCAGCAACGCCGCGUGCGGGAUGACGGUCUUCGGGUUGUAAACCGCUUUCGCCUGUGACGAAGCGUGAGUGACGGUAAUGUGUAAAGAAGCACCGGCUAACUACGUG
rnacentral:rRNA from 1 species